rnacentral:tRNA from 1 species
UACCACCUGGCGAAACGGUAGACGCACCCGGUUCAAAACCGGUUUUUUGCGGGUUCAACUCCCGCGGUGGGGA